rnacentral:rRNA from 2 species
CAGUCGACGGUCUCUUCGGAGUACAGUGGCGGACGGGUGAGUAACACGUGAGAAUCUGCCCUCAAGACGGGGACAACAGCGGGAAAACUGCUGCUAAUCCCCGAUGAGCCUGCGGGUGAAAAGAAAUUCGCUUGAGGAGGAGCUCGCGUCCGAUUAGCUAGUUGGUGGGGUAAAGGCCUACCAAGGCGACGAUCGGUAGCCGGUCUGAGAUGACGAUCGGCCACACUGGGACUGAGACACGGCCCAGACUCCUACGGGAGGCAGCAGUGGGGAAUUUUCCGCAAUGGGCGAAAGCCUGACGGAGCAAGACCGCGUGUGGGAGGAAGGCCUUCUGGGUCGUAAACCGACUUUUCUCAGGGAAGAAGCUCUGACGGUACCUGAGGAAUAAGCCUCGGCUAACUCCGUGCCAGCAGCCGCGGUAAUACGGAGGAGGCAAGCGUUAUCCGGAAUUAUUGGGCGUAAAGCGUCCGCAGGUGGCUAUUCAAGUCUGCUGUCAAAGCCCGAAGCUUAACUUCGGAGAGGCAGUGGAAACUGGAAAGCUAGAGAACGGUAGGGGUAGAGGGAAUUCCCAGUGUAGCGG